GGAGAGGUGGCCGAGUGGUUGAAGGCGCAGACCUGGAAAGNNCGAGGGUUCGAAUCCCUCCCUCUCCGCCA
rnacentral:tRNA from 1 species